rnacentral:rRNA from 1 species
UACGGGGGGAGCAAGCGUUGUUCGGAUUUACUGGGCGUAAAGGGCGCGUAGGCGGCGCAACAAGUCACUUGUGAAAUCUCCGGGCUUAACCCGGAGCGGUCAAGUGAUACUGUCGUGCUAGAGUGCGGAAGGGGCUACUGGAAUUCUCGGUGUAGCGGUGAAAUGCGUAGAGAUCGGGAGGAACACCGGCGGCGAAGGCGGCUGCCUGGACCAGUCCUGACGCUG